rnacentral:rRNA from 1 species
AGCAGCCGCGGUAAUUCCAGCUCCAAUAGCGUAUAUUAAAGUUGUUGCAGUUAAAAAGCUCGUAGUUGAAUUUCGGGAUCAAUACGUCGGUCGUGCUUCGGUACGUACUGGCGUAAUUGAUUUCUCCCUUCUGACGAACCAUGAUGUCAUUAACUUGGUGUCAUGGGAAAUCAGGACUGUUACUUUGAAAAAUUAGAGUGUUUAAAGCAGGCUCACGCUUGAAUACAUUAGCAUGGAAUAAUGAAAUAGGACGUUCGAUCCUAUUUUGUUGGUUUUUAGGAUCAACGUAAUGAUUAAUAGGGAUAGUUGGGGGCAUUAGUAUUCAAUUGUCAGAGGUGAAAUUCUUGGAUUUAUCGAAGACUAACUACUGCGAAAGCAUUUGCCAAGGAUGUUUUCAUUAAUCAAGAACGAAAGUUAGGGGAUCGAGGACGAUCA